GAUGAACGCUAGCGGCGUGCUUAACACAUGCAAGUCGAACGAAGCAUUUGCGACAGAUUUUUUCGGAAUGAAGUUGCUUAUGACUGAGUGGCGGACGGGUGAGUAACGCGUGGGUAACCUGCCUUGUACUGGGGGAUAGCAGCUGGAAACGGCUGGUAAUACCGCAUAAGCGCACAAUGUUGCAUGACAUGGUGUGAAAAACUCCGGUGGUAUAAGAUGGACCCGCGUCUGAUUAGCUAGUUGGUGAGAUAACAGCCCACCAAGGCGACGAUCAGUAGCCGACCUGAGAGGGUGACCGGCCACAUUGGGACUGAGACACGGCCCAGACUCCUACGGGAGGCAGCAGUGGGGAAUAUUGCACAAUGGAGGAAACUCUGAUGCAGCGACGCCGCGUGAGUGGAGAAGUAAUUCGUUAUGUAAAGCUCUAUCAGCAGGGAAGAUAGUGACGGUACCUGACGAAGAAGCUCCGGCUAAAUACGUG
rnacentral:rRNA from 1 species